AGAGUUUGAUCAUGGCUCAGGACUAACGCUGGCGGCGUGCCUAAUACAUGCAAGUCGAACGGGAUUCUUUGAUCAGCUUGCUGAGAGAAGGAUCUAGUGGCGGACGGGUGAGUAACGCGUGGGAAUCUGCCUCUUACUGGGGGAUAACAGUGGGAAACUACUGCUAAUACCGCAUAAGAUCUUCGGAUGAAAGGUGCAACUGCACCGGUAAGAGAUGAGCCCGCGUCCCAUUAGCUAGUUGGUGAGGUAAAGGCUCACCAAGGCGACGAUGGGUAGCCGGCCUGAGAGGGUGAACGGCCACACUGGGACUGAGACACGGCCCAGACUCCUACGGGAGGCAGCAGUAGGGAAUCUUCCGCAAUGGGCGCAAGCCUGACGGAGCGACGCCGCGUGAGUGAUGAAGGCCUUCGGGUCGUAAAGCUCUGUUCUUGAGGACGAAUAAGCCAGGGAGUGGAAAGCCCUGGUGAUGACUGUACUUAAGGAGAAAGCUCCGGCUAACUACGUGCCAGCAGCCGCGGUAAU
rnacentral:rRNA from 1 species